GGAUAGAUAAGAAGAGAGUCAGCUUGAACCAGACGAAACAUGAAUUAAGAUCUUCUUAUCUAUCCU
rnacentral:tRNA from 1 species